UGGCCCUCCAGCUGUUUUGGGACUACAACUCCCAUCAUCCCUAGCUAACAGGACCAAUUCAGGGAUGAUGGGAAUUGUAGUCCCAAAACAGCUGGAGGGCCAA